UUUAAAUUAGAACAAAGGAGAAUGGGCAAUUUGUCCCAUGGAUGUAUACUAUUGAGACAUACCUCGUUUGAAAGGGCUUACACGUAGCAUUAAUUUGUUGUAUGACACCAACUUUGGAUAACGUGCAGGGACUGAGCUAUUUAAAAAAAAUUGGUGUCAUACAAUAAAUUAAUGCUAUGUGUAAGCCCUUUCAAACGAGAUAUGUCUCAAUAGUAUACAUCCAUGGGACAAAUUGCCCAUUCUCCUUU